UUGAUACGGAAGUGUUUCUGU
rnacentral:piRNA from 1 species